rnacentral:rRNA from 1 species
UACGUAGGGACCAAGCGUUUGUUCGGAUUUACUGGGCGUAAAGGGCGCGUAGGCGGCAAUUCAAGUCAUCUGUGAAAUCUCCGGGCUUAACCCGGAAAGGUCAACCGAUACUGCGGGGCUAGAGUGCAGAAGGGGCAACUGGAAUUCUCGGUGUAGCGGUGAAAUGCGCAGAUAUCAGGAGGAACACCGGUGGCGAAGGCGGGUCUCUGGGCAGUAACUGACGCUGAGGAGCGAAAGCGUGGGGAGCGAACAGG